rnacentral:rRNA from 1 species
CGUUAGCGGCGGACGGGUGAGUAACACGUGGGUAACCUACCUAUAAGACUGGGAUAACUUCGGGAAACCGGAGCUAAUACCGGAUAACAUUUGGAACCGCAUGGUUCUAAAGUGAAAGAUGGUUUUGCUAUCACUUAUAGAUGGACCCGCGCCGUAUUAGCUAGUUGGUAAGGUAACGGCUUACCAAGGCGACGAUACGUAGCCGACCUGAGAGGGUGAUCGGCCACACUGGAACUGAGACACGGUCCAGACUCCUACGGGAGGCAGCAGUAGGGAAUCUUCCGCAAUGGGCGAAAGCCUGACGGAGCAACGCCGCGUGAGUGAUGAAGGGUUUCGGCUCGUAAAACUCUGUUAUUAGGGAAGAACAAAUGUGUAAGUAACUGUGCACGUCUUGACGGUACCUAAUCAGAAAGCCACGGCUAACUACGUGCCAGCAGCCGCGGUAAUACGUAGGUGGCAAGCGUUAUCCGGAAUUAUUGGGCGUAAAGCGCGCGUAGGCGGUUUCUUAAGUCUGAUGUGAAAGCCCACGGCUCAACCGUGGAGGGUCAUUGGAAACUGGGAAACUUGAGUGCAGAAGAGGAAAGUGGAAUUCCAUGUGUAGCGGUGAAAUGCGCAGAGAUAUGGAGGAACACCAGUGGCGAAGGCGACUUUCUGGUCUGUAACUGACGCUGAUGUGCGAAAGCGUGGGGAUCAAACAGGAUUAGAUACCCUGGUAGUCCACGCCGUAACGAUGAGUGCUAAGUGUUAGGGGGUUUCCGCCCCU